CAGUAGCCGCGGUAAUACGUAGGUGGCAAGCGUUGUCCGGAAUUAUUGGGCAUAAAGGGCUCGCAGGCGGUUUCUUAAGUCUGAUGUGAAAGCCCCCGGCUCAACCGGGGAGGGUCAUUGGAAACUGGGAAACUUGAGUGCAGAAGAGGAGAGUGGAAUUCCACGUGUAGCGGUGAAAUGCGUAGAGAUGUGGAGGAACACCAGUGGCGAAGGCGACUCUCUGGCCUGUAACUGACGCUGAGGAGCGAAAGCGUGGGGAGCGAACAGGAUUAGAUACCCCCGUAGUCCCUGUCUCUUAUAC
rnacentral:rRNA from 1 species